UGGGGAAUAUUGGACAAUGGGCGCAAGCCUGAUCCAGCCAUGCCGCGUGGAUGAUGAAGGCCCUAGGGUUGUAAAGUCCUUUCGGCGGGGAAGAUAAUGACGGUACCCGCAGAAGAAGCCCCGGCUAACUUCGUGCCAGCAGCCGCGGUAAUACGAAGGGGGCUAGCGUUGCUCGGAAUCACUGGGCGUAAAGCGCACGUAGGCGGCUUUCUAAGUCGGUGGUGAAAUCCUGGAGCUCAACUCCAGAACUGCCUCCGAUACUGGAGAGCUCGAGUCCGGGAGAGGUGAGUGGAACUGCGAGUGUAGAGGUGAAAUUCGUAGAUAUCUGGAAGAACACAAGUGGCGAAGGCGGUCUCUUGGUCCGACACUGACGCUGAGGCGCGAAAGCGUGGGGAGCAAAC
rnacentral:rRNA from 1 species